GUUUGGGGAUUAGUGUGUAAGAGGGUAGUUGGGUUGUCUUGUCUUGUCUUGUCUUGUCUUGUCUUGUCUUGUCUUGUCUUGUCUUGUCUUGUCUUGUCUUGUCUUGUCUUGUCUUGUCUUGCUGCACCUAGCCUUACACAGUUCACAGAGCACAAAAUAUGCUGUGGGUUCUGGCCCUACUUCUAGUUUUUUUGCCUGCUGGCAGACAAACAUCCUCCAAUUUGGAAGAAAGAAUAAUGUCAAUCACCAGGCCAGUGGGGUCCUCUGUUAUAAUCACUUGUGAUAUUCACAGAACAGGCAAUUACAUCCACUGGUACCGAUUCCAGAAAGGGAAAGUCCCACAGCACCUUCUCUACUACAACUUCAUCAGUUCCACAGCUUUGGUGGAUUCCAGGCUCGAUGCAAAGAAAUAUCAUGUUUAUGAAGGCACAGAGAAGAGUUAUAAAUUUGUACUACGGUUCAUUGUUGCUUUUCCUUGUGUCAAGGACUCAUCAUUUGUUGGUUUAUUUGAGACCUGUUUGGGGGAGUAGCAAGAAAUUUGCAAGGGCUGAACAUACAGCAAAUCAUGGAAGAUUAGACAUGGAAAAAGCAUAGCAGGUAUGUCUCCAGAGCUCAGAACAGCUUCUCUGCAGUGAGCAACAGAAGUGGGAAAGGAGGAGGAGGCUGCACUCAUGCUGCCACACCCCGAGAACAGCAACAACUUAGGCACUGAUCUGACCAGGCUGUGUUGGCCAGGAAACCCAGAACCGCUCAUAACUACAACAGACCAUGAAGAACCCUGGCUUACAAGCUCUGCUUCCUUUACAUCUUCCCUGGGAAGCCCGUCUGGCAGAUGGGAAUCCACUCCUGAAAGUGGUCAUUUUCUCCUGUCUCUUGACAGUUGGACAUGGGAAGUUGGAGCAACCUGAAAUAUCAAUAUCCAGAGCAAGAGAUGAGACUGUCCAAAUAUCCUGUAAGGUUUUCAUCGAAAGCUUUAAAAGUGUAACCAUACACUGGUACCGGCAGAAACCAAACCAAGGUUUAGAGUUUCUGUUAUAUGUCCUCGCAAACCCUACCCAUAUUUUCUUAGAUAAGGAGUACAAGAAAAUGGAGGCAAGCAAAAAUUCUAGUGCUUCUACAUCGACAUUAACAAUAUAUUCCCUGGAAGAAGAAGACGAAGCUAUCUACUACUGUUCCUACGGCGAUAGCUCGGGCUGGAGCAAGGUAUUUGCAGAAGGAACUAAACUCAUAGUAAUUCCCUCUGACAAAAACUUUGAGGCAGACAUUUCCCCCAAGCCCACCAUUUUUCUUCCUUCUGCUGCUGAAACAAAUCUUCAUAAUUCUGGGACAUACCUUUGUCUCCUUGAAAAGUUCUUCCCUGAUGUCAUUAGGGUGUACUGGAAAGAAAAGGAUGGUGAUACUAUCCUGGACUCCCAGGAAGGGGAUACGCUGAAGACUAAUGACACAUAUAUGAAGUUUAGCUGGCUUACUGUGCCUGAAAGGUCAAUGGAUAAAGAUCAUAGAUGUAUCAUCAAACAUGAAAAAAACAAAGGAGGAGUGGAUCAAGAGAUUUUCUUUCCUUCAAUAAAGAAAGUUGCUGUGAGUACCAAGCCUACAACUUGCUGGCAAGAUGAAAAUGAUAUGCUGCAGCUCCAGUUCACAAGCACCUCUGCUUACUACACCUACCUCCUUCUGCUCCUCAAGAAUGCGAUCUACUUGGCCAUCAUCAGCUUCUUCCUGCUUAGAAGAACAGCUGUCUGUGGCAAUAAGAAAAGGUCCUAAGGAAAUGAAUAUGUUUGACUGUAUUCUAGACUGGCCUCAAACUCUGUGUUGGAAGAUGACCUUGACUGUCUGGUUUUCUUGUUUCUUGCCCCAAGUCCUGAAAUUCUGGCCAUGAACCACCUGAUUUGAUUUGAUGCUGACCAAGAACCCAGGGAUGCCUGCAUGCUAGGUACACUGAGCUAUAGCACUAGGCCUGUUGUUGAAGUCUCACACUGCCACCGAAGCUAGCCUACUGCUCCCUGUAUAGCUCCCUGUAUAGGGUGGUACAACAAGCCACCUGGUUUUCAUCCAUACUGUCAUAAAUGUACCUUAUGGGAGUCUAGCUGCCUUCUCUUGUUGGCUUUGACUUCUGUAAAGUCACAUGCAUAUCAUCCUGUUAUUGCAUAAACAUAUUUUGAACUUUUGUAAGCAAUUUCAGCAACUUCUCUAUAACUGGGCUCACUUCCUUCCUGAUUCCAUCCUCUCCAGCAGUCCUCUUGCCCAGAAGUCUGAAGCAUCAAAGCUCUAGUACACACAGGCUACAGCUUUUACCCAUAGCCCUUGUUGAUUUUGAGCUAACUUUCUGAAAGCCUACACUCUAGACAACCUGAAGAGCCUUACCUACUGUUUGAUUCUGUGCCUUGUAUUUCAUAUUAGGGACAAUAAAUUUUUUAAAAUUAGAA